rnacentral:lncRNA from 1 species
AUGGAAAGAACAUUGAGGAUGUCAUUGCUCAGGGUAAUGGAAAACUUGCCAGCAUGCCUGCGGGAGGAGCUGUGGCCGUCUCUGCUGGCGGGGGCUCUGCUGCUCCUGCUGCAGGUGGUGCUGCCCCCGCUGCAGCUGAGGAGAAGAAAGAAGAGAAGAAAGAAGAAUCUGAAGAAUCUGAUGAUGACAUGGGAUUCGGCCUCUUUGAUUAAUUAUUUGUUAUAGAAAUACUAUUAAAUUUUGUUUGUUUUAAAAGGUUUUUGAGUUUAUUAGUAUAACCAUAAAGUACUAUUGGAUUCAGACAGCUUUCUUAAAAUAGCUCUGACAAAGCUUGGGUUUUUAGCUCUGUCUGAAAUAGAUAUGCUACUUUGAGUAAAUGAGGCCAUGGGAAUGAUUCUUUUAAAGCGCUUGGGUAUUGCUAAGCUUGUGUGAACCUGAAGGCUUGUUUUGAGACUCCUAUUUAUUAAAUGGUAUAUGGAAGUUGAAUUUACGUGAAUUCACCCUCUUCACACUAUCUUGCCAUCAUAGUUAUUCAGGAAAGAAUCCUACCUAUUCAGCCAUAAAAAGGCUUAUUUUUUGGAAUCUGUGUAGUCAAUGCCAAAACAUGAGUGGCAAGCAAGUCCAGAUGAGUCCACAAAUGUUACAACCAAUACUUAUUAGAACUAGCUUUGAAAUAACUAUUUAAAAACCCACCGAUUUCAUUUUGGCUUCAUAUUCCAAGAUCUAGAAACAACACCAAUAACAUGUUUAACUCUACUUGGAUUUCACGUUACAUCCAUAUGCUCAACUUUAAGCCUUCCACAAGAUUACCACAUGCCUGCCUGCAGGCCCUGCUCUUCAGGGGCUUUUAACCCAAGGACACUGAAGUCAGUCCAAAGGCGCUCUUAAUUUCUGUUUUGGGGACAGCCAAAGUAUCAGCUUGAAAUGGAACAAAAAGAAAAUAGGAAAAUAUUUUUGGAAGCUGACCUCUAUGGUGUGCCCAGAAAAAUGCAUCAUCUUGGGAGGAUGCUAAAUUUUGCUUUUGUAAAGUGUUUUCUGCUAGGAGCCAGUUCCAGCAGACAACUUCCAGUGACUUCUACAGCGGUCUUUAACAGGUAAUGUGCAAAUAGGCGCAUGAUGGUCUUCCCAUGCCAGGUUUUCCACAAGUAGUGUCAAAAGCAGGGUCUUGGAGCAAGUAGUCUGCGCUAUGAAGUCUUGCCAACAGUUAAGUUGUUGCAGUGUGUGG